CCUACGGGAGGCAGCAGUGAGGAAUAUUGGACAAUGGGCGCAAGCCUGAUCCAGCCAUGCCGCGUGCAGGAAGACGGUCCUAUGGAUUGUAAACUGCUUUUAUACAGGAAGAAACACACCCUCGUGAGGGAGCUUGACGGUACUGUAAGAAUAAGGAUCGGCUAACUCCGUGCCAGCAGCCGCGGUAAUACGGAGGAUCCAAGCGUUAUCCGGAAUCAUUGGGUUUAAAGGGUCCGUAGGCGGUUUAAUAAGUCAGUGGUGAAAUCUGGUCGCUCAACGAUCAAACGGCCAUUGAUACUGUUAGACUUGAAUUAUAAGGAAGUAACUAGAAUAUGUAGUGUAGCGGUGAAAUGCUUAGAUAUUACAUGGAAUACCAAUUGCGAAGGCAGGUUACUACUUAUGGAUUGACGCUGAUGGACGAAAGCGUGGGGAGCGAACAGGAUUAGAUACCCUGGUAGUCCACGCCGUAAACGAUAGGAUACUAGCUGUUCGGAGCAAUCUGAGUGGCUAAGCGAAAGUGAUAAGUAUCCACCUGGGAGUACGUUCGCAAGAUGAAACUCGAAAGAUUAGACGG
rnacentral:rRNA from 1 species